rnacentral:rRNA from 1 species
UACGGAGGAUGCGAGCGUUAUCCGGAUUUAUUGGGUUUAAAGGGUGCGCAGGCGGAAUGUCAAGUCAGCGGUGAAAGUCUGUGGCUCAACCAUAGAAUUGCCGUUGAAACUGGGGGGCUUGAGUAUGUUUGAGGCAGGCGGAAUGCGCGGUGUAGCGGUGAAAUGCAUAGAUAUCGCGCAGAACUCCGAUUGCGAAGGCAGCAUGCCGGCUCCACACUGACGCUGAGGCACGAAAGCGUGGGUAUCGAACAGG